GAGAGAUAUUCAAUUUCUAAAUUUUCUGUCAUUUCUCUCUCUUCAAUUACCCGAUCUAGGGUUCUUUUUCGAAAUCUCAAUCUCGAUCGAUUGAAUAUCACAAAAUCUAUUAUGGCAUCAGAGCGUGACAUCCGAUCCGUCUUGUUGCUAGCUUCCGUCCGAUAGUACCUGUUGUCGGAGUUUCGACGUUUUGUGUUUGGUGCUGUGAGAUUCGCCUGAUUUGAGUCUAGGAUUUUUUCGCGUUUUCAUCUAAUUCUAUACUUACAAGGCCUUAGCUUCUUCAGGGAUAUAAAUAAGUGUUUGAAAUGGAAGCAAUUAACUUGAAUCAACUUUGUAUGGACGAGCAUGACCCAAUGUUGAAUCUGAAGGUGCGUUGCAAGCAUGGAGAUUUGCUGUCAUUGCAAACUUCUUGGUCGACUAGGAACCUUGAAAGACGGUUAUGGUCUUGUCCAUACUAUGGUACCAAGUUUGUAAAUAUUUUCGAUGGAGGGGUGCUAUUGAUGACCGUUCUAGGUUUGUCCUUCCACGAUUGGUGAAUAAAUUGAGGGAGAUUGUAGAAGGAUUAGCCAAUUAUGAAUCAUUGAAGACUCAAUUGGUGGAAAUUGAGCAUGAGAUAGAGAAUGAAUAAUGGACGGAGGUUGAGCAAGAGUUAGAGGGUCAUCAGAUGAUCAAUCAAGGGUUGAACCAAAAGGAGAAGAUGAAUCACAGCUGGAAUCUUUAUAAUAGGAAGGGCAUCUUAUGUAUUUUGUUGUGUCUGAUUAUAUGUUAUCUGUUUAUAUGGUAAUCGUUCAAAUUCUAUGUAGUUUGUUAGAGUUAAUCUCCGAUUUUUGUGACAUUAACUGUAGUUCGGAGCUCCAAUUCUCUGUAGUUUGUAGGAGUUAAUCUCCUUUUUUUGGUUGAACAACAAUGAAUGGAACUUGAGUUUGUACAUA